GCGAGGCCGAAAGGCGUAGUCGAUGGGAAACAGGUUAAUAUUCCUGUACUUGGUGUUACUGCGAAGGGGGGACGGAGAAGGCUAUGUUGGCCGGGCGACGGUUGUCCCGGUUUAAGCGUGUAGGCUGGUUUUCCAGGCAAAUCCGGAAAAUCAAGGCUGAGGCGUGAUGACGAGGCACUACGGUGCUGAAGCGACAAAUGCCCUGCUUCCAGGAAAAGCCUCUAAGCAUCAGGUAACAUCAAAUCGUACCCCAAACCGACACAGGUGGUCAGGUAGAGAAUACCAAGGCGCUUGAGAGAACUCGGGUGAAGGAACUAGGCAAAAUGGUGCCGUAACUUCGGGAGAAGGCACGCUGAUAUGUAGGUGAAGCGACUUGCUCGUGGAGCUGAAAUCAGUCGAAGAUACCAGCUGGCUGCAACUGUUUAUUAAAAACACAGCACUGUGCAAACACGAAAGUGGACGUAUACGGUGUGACGCCUGCCCGGUGCCGGAAGGUUAAUUGAUGGGGUUAGCGGUAACGCGAAGCUCUUGAUCGAAGCCCCGGUAAACGGCGGCCGUAACUAUAACGGUCCUAAGGUAGCGAAAUUCCUUGUCGGGUAAGUUCCGACCUGCACGAAUGGCGUAAUGAUGGCCAGGCUGUCUCCACCCGAGACUCAGUGAAAUUGAACUCGCUGUGAAGAUGCAGUGUACCCGCGGCAAGACGGAAAGACCCCGUGAACCUUUACUAUAGCUUGACACUGAACAUUGAGCCUUGAUGUGUAGGAUAGGUGGGAGGCUUUGAAGUGUGGACGCCAGUCUGCAUGGAGCCGACCUUGAAAUACCACCCUUUAAUGUUUGAUGUUCUAACGUGGGCCCCUUACCGGGGUUGCGGACAGUGUCUGGUGGGUAGUUUGACUGGGGCGGUCUCCUCCUAAAGAGUAACGGAGGAGCACGAAGGUUGGCUAAUCCUGGUCGGACAUCAGGAGGUUAGUGCAAUGGCAUAAGCCAGCUUGACUGCGAGCGUGACGGCGCGAGCAGGUGCGAAAGCAGGUCAUAGUGAUCCGGUGGUUCUGAAUGGAAGGGCCAUCGCUCAACGGAUAAAAGGUACUCCGGGGAUAACAGGCUGAUACCGCCCAAGAGUUCAUAUCGACGGCGGUGUUUGGCACCUCGAUGUCGGCUCAUCACAUCCUGGGGCUGAAGUAGGUCCCAAGGGUAUGGCUGUUCGCCAUUUAAAGUGGUACGCGAGCUGGGUUUAGAACGUCGUGAGACAGUUCGGUCCCUAUCUGCCGUGGGCGCUGGAGAACUGAGGGGGGCUGCUCCUAGUACGAGAGGACCGGAGUGGACGCAUCACUGGUGUUCGGGUUGUCAUGCCAAUGGCACUGCCCGGUAGCUAAAUGCGGAAGAGAUAAGUGCUGAAAGCAUCUAAGCACGAAACUUGCCCCGAGAUGAGUUCUCCCUGACUCCUUGAGAGUCCUGAAGGAACGUUGAAGACGACGACGUUGAUAGGCCGGGUGUGUAAGCGCAGCGAUGCGUUGAGCUAACCGGUACUAAUGAACCGUGAGGCUUAACCUUACAACGCCGAAG
rnacentral:rRNA from 1 species